ACGAACGCUGGCGGCGUGCUUAACCCAUGCAAGUCGAACGGAAAGGCCCUGCUUUUGUGGGGUGCUCGAGUGGCGAACGGGUGAGUAACACGUGAGUAACCUGCCCUUGACUUUGGGAUAACUUCAGGAAACUGGGGCUAAUACCGGAUAGGAGCUCCUGCUGCCUGGUGGGGGUUGGAAAGUUUCGGCGGUUGGGGAUGGACUCGCGGCUUAUCAGCUUGUUGGUGGGGUAGUGGCUUACCAAGGCUUUGACGGGUAGCCGGCCUGAGAGGGUGACCGGCCACAUUGGGACUGAGAUACGGCCCAGACUCCUACGGGAGGCAGCAGUGGGGAAUAUUGCACAAUGGGCGGAAGCCUGAUGCAGCAACGCCGCGUGCGGGAUGACGGCCUUCGGGUUGUAAACCGCUUUCGCCUGUGACGAAGCGUGAGUGACGGUAAUGGGUAAAGAAGCACCGGCUAACUACGUG
rnacentral:rRNA from 1 species